GACGUAGGGCGCGAGCGUUGUCCGGAUUUAUUGGGCGUAAAGAGCUCGUAGGCGGCUUGUCGCGUCGUCUGUGAAAUCCCGUGGCUCAACUGCGGGUCUGCAGUCGAUACGGGCAGGCUAGAGUUCGGUAGGGGAGACUGGAAUUCCUGGUGUAGCGGUGAAAUGCGCAGAUAUCAGGAGGAACACCGGUGGCGAAGGCGGGUCUCUGGGCCGAUAUUGACGCUGAGGAGCGAAAGCGUGGGGAGCGAACAGG
rnacentral:rRNA from 1 species